rnacentral:lncRNA from 10 species
CUUCAUCAAAAGCAGCCCUGCAGGGAGGAGGCUCGGAAGGAACUGGUUAAGAGAUCAGAGUAACUUUUGAGCUAAUGAGGACACUAGGUGACAUCAAGCCCAAACACUUUCUGAACAAGUGGCUGGUCCUGAGAGGUGAUCGAGGUCACACAACUAUAAGAUAUAAGCAGGAACUGAAAAAUCACAUCUCCAGACUCAUCACUUGGGCUUGGCCAUGGACUUGCAUAUCAUUGCUGAGAGAAGUCUCAACAGCAGCUUAAGUACUAUUGAAGACCUCAAGAUGACAAAUUUUCUCCAUCACUUCUAAGGCUGAAUUGUCAUAUCCAAUGUGCUUUAUGACUAUGCUUUGAUUUGUGCUGAUGGAUCUAAGGUGUGCACCUCUGGAGGCUUUGAGGUGGCUAUACUUCAGUUGUGGAUAAAGAGGUGAAGAAGGACAUCUAUGGUGAUGCUCAGUAAUAUCUGCGAAGAACUGUGGAGACAGACAAAUAGUCAAAGUUAUCCUCAGUGCCACUUCUGGAGGUGGAAUAAGAGUUGGGAAUUCUGUUGACCUGGCCAUGACACCAGAAUUUUCUGUUACUUCACUGGUCAUCAUUUUUGAGGAGAAUACAGAUGACUUUCAGAAGAAGUGUGAACAUCAAGCUGAGGAGCUUUUUUGAAGAGCAGGAUCUUUCUAUCAACAUGGGAUAGUGGAAGAUUAAAGUAGUGAUGACUACAUAUAGAAAUACAAAGUUGAAGUGAGAGACGCAAGUCUGAUACUGCAAAAGAAAAAUGUAAGAAACUUAGGACUCAACUUUAUCAAUGAGUUCGUUCAACUAUAGAAAUGCACUAGGGACUGAAUGGUGUCCCCCCAAAAUUUAUAUGUCAAAGCUCUAAUCCUCAAUAUGAUGAUCUCCAGAGAUGGAACUUUGGGGUGGUAAUUGGGUUUAGAUGAGGUUAUGAGGAUGGGGUCCUCAUGAAGGGAUUAGUGCCCUUAUAAGGAGAGGCCAGAGUGCUCACUUGUUCGCAUAUGCUCUUGUAUUCUCUCUCUCUCCUCAACCCCCACCAUGUGAGGACACAACAAGAAGAUGGUUGUCUACAAGCCAGGAAGAGAACCUUCACAAGGAACCAAAUCAGCGGGCACCGUGAUCACGAGACUCCCAGCCUCCAGAACUGUGAGAAAUAAAUGUCUGCUGUUGAAGCCAUCCAGUCCACAGUAUUUUGUUACAGCAGCCUGAGCAGAUUAAAAUAAAGAAAUGUAACUUGUGAGAUAGACAGAAAGGUAAGAAAGAGAAAAUGCAACAUAAAGUCUAUGCUUAAAGGAGCGCUUAUUAGUAGUUAAGAUGAGCUAGGCAAAAUAUAAAUGGUAGAGAAAUGAAAGAUGACAACACUCAUAACUUGCUCAUUCAUGCAACAGAUACGUGCAGAGUAUCUAUUGAAGGACCCUGCACUGGUACUUAGGAAUCAAACUUAAAUCCCACCUUCAAAUCUGACAGAGAUAAGACAUAGACAGACUGUUUUUUAUUUGGGUAAAUUAUUCAUACCCAUUAAAAGAUCUGUAGAUAAAUGCCUUUGGAUUUCUAAGAGGGGAGAUAUUAUUUUCAACUGGGAGAAACACAGGAAUAUCAUUUUAUGUACUAAGUAGCAUUUGGUGUAGAGCUUAUAGAGAAAUAGAAUGUUCACAUGGAGAGAAUGCUGUAUGGGGAACUCCAGAUGGAAUAAUUGGUAUUAGCUCUGGUCCCAGAGUAGUGACUAUCUUUGCAGGAAACCUCAGGUGUAAUCUUAUGGACCUCUGGAAAGACUGUAACAAAAUAACUAUUUAUGGAGAUGACUGGCAAAGUUAAGGACACGGACAAGGGACAUGAGGGGCCUAGGGACAGGCAACAGUGAGAAGUCACUCCUAGGAAAGAGUGUUCAGGGAGCCAGUGAAGAGUGUAGCCAUGUAGAAAGAAUGGCCUGACAGAGCAUUCAUCCUAGAGGGAUGCAGCUGCUGCAAGAGCCAUGAUGCUGAUGCAGGAGGAGAAGAGGGAGACAGAAGGAGACAGGAAGAGACAGGAGGAAAAGCCUCAGCCUCUCCCUUCCCACUCUCCAACCUCCCUGCUUGAACGCUCACCAGCUGAUCCCAACAAGAAACACAGUCAGUAGGAACAGCUCUGGAGCACAGCUUGAGGUAGAAAAUGGAGCAGGGUAGGGACCAAGUGGAAAAUAAUUGCCAUAGCUACUGAGACAGGAGAGAAGAAAAUGUGUAUAUGAGAAAACAGUUUGUUUUGGCUAGAAUAAAUGAUGCAUGAGGGCAAAAAGCCAGAGUGUGCUUAUAAAAGUAAGUGGUAGCUGAAACUCAUCAGAAUAAUGACAAAAUAAAGGGAAACGAAAAGACGUAUGAAUCUGGUGCUUAACUCAUCAGGGAUGUUUGGCGCCUUUCCUGGAAAUUACAGAUAAAAGCAACAGGAGUGGAGAGAAAUGACAUCAGAACAUAAGAGGUACCACAAAAUAUGAGUUAGUUUUUAGAAAUGUGAAUGUAGCAGUGGCCAAGAAGAGGCAGUAGAGAGAAAGCAGUACUCUGAUUCCUCCAUCUCACUCAAUGAGGUGAACAGGAAGAAUGCCAUUUAUUUUCUCGGACAAAGGCAGCAUAGUCUUUAGACACUUGCUUGGAUCAGGAGGGACAGGCUACUUCCAUGAUUUGGGUCAUUGUGAGGGAAGUAGUUAAGAAAAAAAAAAGAAGGACAGGAGAUAAGGGAACUAUUUGCGGGACUAGUAGAAAGAAGGCAGCAGUGAGAGCAGGGACAGGUGGAACAGAGCUAAAGAGGAAAGAGAGAAGGAAAAGGGAUGGCAGGGGAUGGUGAUUUUUAAUGGCAGGAUCAGAGAGUCACGUUGUCGGAAAGUUGAACAAAUAUAUAUUAGCCCCUGUGGGAAUUCUAGAGAGGAAAACCAGCCAUGAGACCUUUCUAAGUAUAUACUCUUAAGAGAAAUAUUGAUGUAGUAUUCAACCUCAGAGGUUAAGGAAUAGUGGGUUUCAGGAAGGACCUGGAGGGUGGUCAGCUGCACACGUAGAGGUGUGCUGCAGCCAGCUUGUACCAGCUCCUGAGAAUCAAUUGUGCACAUCUCUUUCCAACUCUGGGCUCUGUGGCUUCACAUAAACACCAAAAUAUGUCAUGGUAGGUGUAGUUCUACCCAUAGAAACUGGCAAAUGCUACAGAUGAGGGUUCCCUUCUCACAAAGUCAACUAUCAACCCCAGAGCCUCUUAUUAAACCUUUACCAGCACACCACUGAUCUGCUGCAGCUUCAAUUUGAGGACAGGUUGUUGCAAUGAGCACUGAGGAAGGUGUUGCAUGAGAACAUGUUCAUGAAAGAAGCAGCACCCUCUGCCAAAGAUCACCGGGUGAGUGUGUGCUGAGCAGGUGCAGGCAUGGUCCUCCUUAAAAGACUGGAAUCAGAGGCUGCUCAUUGAUUAGAACUACAUUUUGAUCAAGCUGAGAGAAUUCCAGGUGAUACAACCUGGAAUAAGCUAAGCAAAUAAAAAUAAGUCAUCAACAACCUGUCAGGCAUGCGGAAUUCAGUGAAUAGAAAAUUAACCCAUUCCUCUGAACUAAGCAAUGCUUGAUUUAGCUUCAGUGAGCCUUACAAGUGGAAGCUGGCACUUUCUUCCUGUUUGUUUGUAUCUACUGCAAGAAGUAAAAAUACAUACCACCUACCUGAAGCCUGUCAUGGUACUUGUGUUUCUGUAGGAAUAUUUUCUACAACAUCUUAAGUUACUGCUAGAAAUUGCCAGCAAUUGUGUCUGUGUUUUCCCAUUUUUGAAAGAAAUUAAUACUCUCAAUGCCUUAGAGUUGCUCCUUCCCACCUUCUGAUGCCUUGUCCUGGGCUUAGUGGAUGUAAAUUAAC